GUUGGGUGUGGUGAUGCACACCUGUAGUCCCAGCUACUCAGGAGGCUGAGGUGGGAGGAUCACUUGAGCCCAGGAGUUUGAGGCUGCAGAGAGCUAUGAUGGUGCCACUACACUCCAGCCUGGGCAACAGAGAAAGACUCUGUCUCUU
rfam:Pan troglodytes isolate Yerkes chimp pedigree #C0471 (Clint) chromosome 5, whole genome shotgun sequence.